UACGUAGGGGGCAAGCGUUGUCCGGAAUUAUUGGGCGUAAAGAGCGCGUAGGCGGUCCGGUAAGUCGGUUGUGAAAGUCGGGGGCUCAACCCUCGGAUGCCGAUCGAUACUGUCGGGCUAGAGUCCGGAAGAGGCGAGUGGAAUUCCUGGUGUAGCGGUGAAAUGCGCAGAUAUCAGGAGGAACACCAAUGGCGAAGGCAGCUCGCUGGGACGGUAUUGACGCUGAGGUGCGAAAGCGUGGGGAGCAAACAGG
rnacentral:rRNA from 1 species